CGGAACGCGAUGACGAGGAACUAGUAUAUAAACAACGGCAGCAGAGAGCAAUGUCCCCGGCUGAAAGACAUUGCGGCCCUCUUGUUUACAGAACCUGCCCUCAGAGCGGUUAGGAAAACCUAAACGUAUCCCUCGUUACGGGAUUUGAGCUGAGCACGGCUGAUUCGUGCUAAUGUAAGGUGGUACCGCGAAACCUUUUCGUCCUUUUU
rnacentral:ncRNA from 1 species